rnacentral:rRNA from 1 species
UACGUAGGGGCCUAGCGUUGUCCGGAUUUAUUGGGCGUAAAGAGCUCGUAGGCGGUUUGUCGCGUCUGCUGUGAAAACUCGAGGCUCAACCUCGGGCUUGCAGUGGGUACGGGCAGACUAGAGUGCGGUAGGGGAGACUGGAAUUCCUGGUGUAGCGGUGGAAUGCGCAGAUAUCAGGAGGAACACCGAUGGCGAAGGCAGGUCUCUGGGGCCGCAA